CUGGGCGUCAGCACACCUAAUUCGGGGGAGCCAAUCACGGUGCGCGGGGCCCGGUAAAAGUGACGGAAGUGUUUGGUUCUCCCAUGACAUCAAGCACGGCUUCCGCCACGUUUGCGGACGCGUUGGGCUCCCCUCCUCCUGUACGGAGGUUCAUCUCUGGUGCGCGCUGCCGGCAGCUUGCCUCCUCCCACCUUCCAAGUGGAAUGCUUGGAAUGCCCGACUGAUCGGUAGGUGACUUCCGGGUACUGGAUCUCGUAGCUUGGGAGGUAUAACUAUGUUUUGACGGGCUUUCGUCCUUUUAUUUUAGGAGACUGUUGGUCGGGUCAGCGGAACGCUGCCGUACUCCACAUGGGCCACUGCUGUUUUGCCUAGGGUUGUUUUAACCACUGCCGUGGCACUGUUGAGCGUCCACAAACGCUAUUUACGCCAACGCAACGGCGUCGGCUGUGGCUGCGUCGCGGCCCGACCGGCACCGGGCACCGGGCCGAGCCAACACUGCCUCUGCGGCGCGUGGGACGCCAUUUAGCUCCCUUUGAGGAGGAGCCGUUACUGGGGUUUAUUAGGUUGUCUUGUGUUUAUCUGUUGUUUUUGGUUUCUCAUUUGUCUCCUGCUUAUUAUUUGUCUUGUUUGAUUUUGCCACGUGUGGUUUUCCCUUCAUGGGGAAACCCGGUUUUGUUAUUAAUUGAGUUAGUCUUUUGUGUUUGUAGGUGCUCGCAGACCAAGGUGGCGGGAGUGGCACUUCCGGGAUUUGGGGUCUCCCUUUGUGUGUUGUGUUUGUAAGUUAUCUCCAGUGCCGACCCUCACGUGUGUUUGUGUGAGUGUGUUGAGGGCGUGCACGAGUGAUUGGGACGCUUACUUUGCUUUUGGGACCCCACCCGCGCUGGUCUACCUCACCCGCCACCGGUCAGUCCCCGCCCUACACCUUUAUUUUCAGUAACGGCUCUUUUUAUUAUUAUCUUGCAUUUUAUACCUUGUGUGAUGGAAUAAAUAUUGUAAAUGGA